rnacentral:rRNA from 1 species
UACGGCGAGUGAGAGGGAAGAGCCCAAGAUUGAAAGCUGGCGUCUUCGGCGUCCGCAUUGUAAUCUCAAGAAGUGUUUUCCGCUUCGGACCAUGCCUAAGUCCCUUGGAAAAGGGCAUCAUAGAGGGUGAUAAUCCCGUACAUGGCAUGGAGCGCCCGAAGCUUUGUGAUACGCUUUCUAAGAGUCGAGUUGUUUGGGAAUGCAGCUCAAAAUGGGUGGUAAAUGCCAUCUAAGGCUAAAUAUUGGGGAGAGACCGAUAGCGAACAAGUACAGUGAUGGAAAGAUGAAAAGAACUUUGAAAAGAGAGUUAAGCAGUACGUGAAAUUGCCAAAAGGGAAGGGUAGGAGGUCAGAGAUGCGGCCUGGGAUUCAGCCUUGCUUUUGCUUGGUGUUUUUCCCAGAUUGCAGGCCAACGUCGGUUUUGGGCACUGGAGAAGGGUAGGAGGAACGUGGCACCUCUCGGGGUGUGUUAUAGCCUCCUACUGGAUACAGCGACCGAGACCGAGGAACGCAGCGUACUCGUAAGAGCGGGCCUUUUGGCACCUUUACGCUUAGGGCGUUGGCAUAAUGGCCCUCUACCACCCGUCUUGAACCACGGACCA